UAAUGUUGGCUGUUCUGCUAAAUGUAUUUUUUUCUUCUCCAAAUGCAAACAAUGGCCCAACACACACUGCCGCACGGGUUUGCAUUGCAAAUGAGGGAAUAAACUGGUUCGAGACACCAGCAGAGUCUCCUGAUUUAAACCCAAUCAAACUUGUUUGGCAUCAAAUGAAAACAUUCAUCCGUAACUCUGCCAAGCCUACAAGCAAAGAUGAACUGGUGAAGGCUAUCAAGACGUUUUGGAUUGAGAAACUGACGAUACAACAAUGCAACAAAAACAUUGAUCAUCUCAGCAAGGUUUUACCUGUGGUCGUGGAGCUGCGGGGAAGUGCAACUAAAAUGUAGCUGAGAUGUACACUAAUAGAAAUAAACAUCUGCAUUUUAAAAGUCUUCUUUUAUCUUUAUUUUA